CUCUAUACAUAGUAUGCGACGCGUAACAGUUUAUAAGAAGGUGUUCUCAUAUAUUAAUUUAAUACGGUGAAUUUAUUAUGGAUAUAUUUCAAACUUCAUUUAUGAAAGAAAAACUUUAGAGCAGAGCAUAUUUUGUUUGAUUGUAGCUCUAUUUUAGAACAUGUAAUUAUACCCCCGCUUUGAAAAAAGGGGGUAUACUGUUUUACCUCUGUCUGUCCUUCCGUCAGUCCGUCAGUCCGUCCGUCCCAUGAAUAUUUUUCGUCGCAUUUUUCUCAGGAACUACAAUAUAAGGAUUUCUGAAAUUUGGUUUCAGGGUUUAUAUAAGUCUGUUACACCGUUUGCUUUUUCAGAUUCAUCACUCGACAACUUCCUGUUUACCGAACACUAAUAUUAUUUUACACAUGAUAACCAAGUUGAAAAUGUUCGUCACAUUUUUCUCAGGAACUACAAUACAAGGAUUUCUGAAUUUUUGUGUCAAGGUUUAUAUAAGUAUGCUAUACCGUGUGAUGCGUUUUCAGAUUCAUCACUCAACAACUUCCUGUUUACCGAACACUUGUACUAUUUACACAUGAUAACCAAGUUUAAAAUUUCCGUCACAUUUUUCUCAGGAACUACAAUACAAGGAUUUCUGAAAUUUUGUUU
rnacentral:lncRNA from 1 species